CCUACGGGAGGCAGCAGUGAGGAAUAUUGGUCAAUGGGCGCGAGCCUGAACCAGCCAAGUAGCGUGAAGGAUGACUGCCCUACGGGUUGUAAACUUCUUUUAUCAAGGAAUAAAGUGAAGCACGUGUGCUUUUUUGUAUGUACCCUAUGAAUAAGCAUCGGCUAACUCCGUGCCAGCAGCCGCGGUAAUACGGAGGAUCCGAGCGUUAUCCGGAUUUAUUGGGUUUAAAGGGUGCGUAGACGGGUGGUUAAGUCAGUUGUGAAAGUUUGCGGCUCAACCGUAAAAUUGCAGUUGAUACUGGCAGUCUUGAGUGCAGGUGAGGUAGGCGGAAUUCGUGGUGUAGCGGUGAAAUGCUUAGAUAUCACGAAGAACUCCGAUUGCGAAGGCAGCUUACUGGACUGCCACUGACGUUGAUGCUCGAAAGUGUGGGUAUCAAACAGGAUUAGAUACCCCUGUAGUC
rnacentral:rRNA from 1 species